rnacentral:rRNA from 1 species
UUAGUGGCGGACGGGUGAGUAACGCGUGGAAAACCUGCCGUAUACUGGGGGAUAACACUUAGAAAUAGGUGCUAAUACCGCAUAAGCGCACAGCUUCGCAUGAAGCGGUGUGAAAAACUCUGGUGGUAUACGAUGGUUCCGCGUCUGAUUAGCUAGUUGGUGGGGUAAUGGCCUACCAAGGCAACGAUCAGUAGCCGGCCUGAGACGGGUGAACGGCCACAUUGGGACUGAGACACGGCCCAAACUCCUACGGAAGGCAGCAG